rnacentral:tRNA from 1 species
GGUAGUCUGGCCAAGUGGUCUAAGGUGCUGGAUUUAAGGCUCCAGUCUCUUUGGGGAUGUGGGUUUGAAUCCCACUGCUGCCA